UGUUCGAUAGCUCAUUCGGGUAGAGCAGUCGGCCACAAACCGACCGGUAGCGGGUUCGAAUCCCGCUCGAACGC
rnacentral:tRNA from 1 species